GAUGAACGCUGGCGGCAGGCCUAACACAUGCAAGUCGAACGGCAGCACAGGAGAGCUUGCUCUCUGGGUGGCGAGUGGCGGACGGGUGAGGAAUACAUCGGAAUCUACCUUUUCGUGGGGGAUAACGUAGGGAAACUUACGCUAAUACCGCAUACGACCUUAGGGUGAAAGCGGAGGACCUUCGGGCUUCGCGCGGAUAGAUGAGCCGAUGUCGGAUUAGCUAGUUGGCGGGGUAAAGGCCCACCAAGGCGACGAUCCGUAGCAGGUCUGAGAGGAUGAUCAGCCACACUGGAACUGAGAGACGUUCUAGACUCCCACGGGAGGCAGCAGUGGGGAAUAUUGGACAAUGGGCGCAAGCCUGAUCCAGCCAUGCCGCGUGGGUGAAGAAGGCCUUCGGGUUGUAAAGCCCUUUUGUUGGGAAAGAAAAGCAGCCGGUUAAUACCCGGUUGUUCUGACGGUACCCAAAGAAUAAGCACCGGCUAACUUCGUGCCAGCCGCCGCAGUAA
rnacentral:rRNA from 1 species